AACGAACGCUGGCGGCAUGCCUAACACAUGCAAGUCGAACGAGGCCUUCGGGUCUAGUGGCGCACGGGUGCGUAACGCGUGGGAACCUGCCCUUAGGUUCGGAAUAACUCCCCGAAAGGGGUGCUAAUACCGGAUAAUGUCUUCGGACCAAAGAUUUAUCGCCUUUGGAUGGGCCCGCGUUGGAUUAGCUAGUUGGUAGGGUAAAAGCCUACCAAGGCGACGAUCCAUAGCUGGUCUGAGGGGAUGAUCAGCCACACUGGGACUGAGACACGGCCCAGACUCCUACGGGAGGCAGCAGUGGGGAAUAUUGGACAAUGGGCGAAAGCCUGAUCCAGCAAUGCCGCGUGAGUGAUGAAGGCCUUAGGGUUGUAAAGCUCUUUUACCCGGGAUGAUAAUGACAGUACCGGGAGAAUAAGCUCCGGCUAACUCCGUG
rnacentral:rRNA from 1 species